rnacentral:tRNA from 3 species
GCCACCCUAGCUCAGAUGGUAGAGCAUCGCAUUCGUAACGCGAAGGUCCGGAGUUCGAUCCUCCGGGGUGGCU